rnacentral:rRNA from 1 species
CCUACGGGGGACAGCAGUCGAGAAUCUUUCACAAUGGGGGAAACCCUGAUGGUGCGACGCCGCGUGGGGGAAUGAAGGUCUUCGGAUUGUAAACCCCUGUCAUGUGGGAGCAAAUUAAAAAGAUAGUACCACAAGAGGAAGAGACGGCUAACUCUGUGCCAGCAGCCGCGGUAAUACAGAGGUCUCAAGCGUUGUUCGGAAGCACUGGGCGUAAAGCGUGCGUAGGCUGUUUCGUAAGUCGUGUGUGAAAGGCGCGGGCUCAACCCGCGGACGGCACAUGAUACUGCGAGACUAGAGUAAGGGAGGGGGAACCGGAAUUCGCGGUGUAGCAGUGAAAUGCGUAGAUAUCGAGAAGAACACUCGUGGCGAAGGCGGGUUCCUGGACAUUAACUGACGCUGAGGCACGAAGGCCAGGGGAGCGAAAGGGAUUAGAUACCCCAGUAGUC